AACGAACGCUGGCGGCAGGCUUAACACAUGCAAGUCGAACGCAUCCUUCGGGGUGAGUGGCAGACGGGUGAGUAACGCGUGGGAACGUGCCCUUCAGUUCGGGAUAACCCAGGGAAACUUGGGCUAAUACCGGAUACGUGCGAGAGCAGAAAGAUUUAUCGCUGAAGGAUCGGCCCGCGUCUGAUUAGCUAGUUGGUGGGGUAAUGGCCCACCAAGGCGACGAUCAGUAGCUGGUCUGAGAGGAUGAUCAGCCACAUUGGGACUGAGAAACGGCCCAAACUCCUACGGGAGGCAGCAGUGGGGAAUAUUGGACAAUGGGCGCAAGCCUGAUCCAGCCAUGCCGCGUGAGUGAUGAAGGCCUUAGGGUUGUAAAGCUCUUUUAGUAGGGAAGAAGCGAAAGUGACGGUACCUGCAGAAAAAGCACCGGCUAACUACGUGCCAGCAGCCGCGGUAA
rnacentral:rRNA from 1 species